rnacentral:rRNA from 1 species
UACGUAGGUGGCAAGCGUUAUCCGGAUUUAUUGGGCGUAAAGGGAACGCAGGCGGUCUUUUAAGUCUGAUGUGAAAGCCUUCGGCUUAACCGGAGUAGUGCAUUGGAAACUGGGAGACUUGAGUGCAGAAGAGGAGAGUGGAACUCCAUGUGUAGCGGUGAAAUGCGUAGAUAUAUGGAAGAACACCAGUGGCGAAAGCGGCCCUCUGGUCUGUAACUGACGCUGAGGUUCGAAAGCAUGGGUAGCAAACAGG